rnacentral:rRNA from 1 species
AGGACGAACGCUGGCGGCGUGCCUAAAACAUGCAAGUCGAACGAGGUCCAUCCAGUGGCAACACUGGUGAAGACCUAGUGGCGAACGGGUGAGUAACACGUGAGAAACCUGCCCCGAAGACUGGGAUAACUCCGGGAAACCGGUGCUAAUACCAGAUGUCCUCACCGGACCGCAUGAUCUGGUGAGGAAAUGGAUUCCGCUUCGGGAUGGUCUCGCGGCCUAUCAGCUUGUUGGCGGGGUAAUGGCUUACCAAGGCUACGAUCCGUAGCUGGUCUGAGAGGAUGAUCAGCCACACUGGGACUGAGACACGGCCCAGACUCCUACGGGAGGCAGCAGUAGGGAAUCUUGGACAAUGGGCGAAAGCCUGAUCCAGCCAUGCCGCGUGAGUGAAGAAGGCCUUAGGGUUGUAAAGCUCUUUUGGCGGGACGAUAAUGACGGUACCCGCAGAAUAAGCCCGGCUAACUUCGUGCCAGCAGCCGC